rnacentral:tRNA from 1 species
AGGGAAUUAGUCCAGUUAGGUUAGGAUGCAGCAUUUGGGAUGCUGAGGUCAAGAGUUCGAGUCUCUUAUUCCCUA